CUCCUGAAGGAUUCGACUCCUCUCUUGAGACCUCCUGCUCCAGGCCAGCUCUUCGUGCCUGGCCCUCCACACCCCCCUAAAGUUAACCCCCUACGCAGGGCUGGGAGGGCUAAAAGUCAGUACCUGCCCCAGACCCAAUACCUGAACGUUCCUCCUGCGAUUGUUAGGGGUGCCUGGGCUUGCUCCGAAGACUUUAAAUAAAGGAUUUGGAUAUACAGAGCUUACUUCUUAACGUCAUUGUGAGGAUUAAGGGAUAACACACGGAAGCACUCAGAACAAUGCCCGAUACGUCAGGAUGGAUGAAAAUUAUAACCUCUUGCCUCAUGGAGUUAAUUUCCAAGAUGCCAUCUUCUGAGACACUCAAGAGAAGAAGGUUUUCUAGCUCAUUCCAGUUUUCAAAUCGUUCCCAAGGGCAGCAACUGGUGACUUUUUCCAGUGACUGGGAGAUCCAAGAAGAAAAUAGG
rnacentral:lncRNA from 1 species